AUCCUGCAAACAGGGCUGGGUACCACGUGCAGUUCCAGUAUAUGCAGAGGGCAGUGCCGGCUUGGGGACUCAGCUCACCUGUGCACUGCUUGACCUGCAACUGCAAGGAACUCUGCUUCCUUUGCCUUUAAAAAAAAUCAUCAUAACUUUUAUAUUUUGAUCUGAUACCUACAUAUAUUUGGUAGCAAUUUUAGAAAAUACGCAAAUUUUAAAUUUCUGUCAAUUGAACGGAGAUAACUGUUAUUAGCAUGUUGUUGUUUAAUCUGUCCUUCCAACCUUAUUCGAAUCAGAAAAAUACUUUUCGACAUAAAUUACAUCUCACCGUUCAUGCUAUUUUUUAAAUGUUCCUCCCCUCUUUUGCCCUUCCGCGAUCCUCACCUAGAAGGCAGAGAAGAAAAUAACUCUGCUCUGAGUGAGGCAGGCCUUGGAAGGGUUCUGAUAACAAACGCCUGUCACAUUUCACCAGUGGGAGCCACAUAUCGGAAUUAGGAGAGCUGGGUAAACCUCUCCCGGCCCUCACCAGAUACCCAAGAUCCUGGGUCCCGAGAUCCAGGAAGGAGGAUUUCUUAGUUAUGUUUUUUUUCUUUUCAGUGCUUUUAAUAAAGCAUUUCAUGCUUUUUCACAAUUGUUCCUUGUUCUUAGCCCCCCCCCCAAAUUGAUCAAUAACCUAUUGCCCUUUAUUUCAUUAAACAGGUUCAUUUUUUAAAAUGGAGCUGAUGUGUUCAUUCAGACAACACGAGUCCAGAUGAAGUCUGUCCAGACCAGUGUUGUCUGUCUAGACCUGGUCCACAAACCUGGCUGAGCCUCAGUCUCCCCAUUGUAGAGACACUUGGGCACCUGUUUCCCAGUGUUCUCGGGCAGUUCCUGGGGAGCCUGGUGAGAUGCACUGGGUGACACCCAGCCUUAAGAAUGAGGCUGAGGAGACAUCCUGUGCAGACACCAGUGUGGCGAGGCGGCUGCGCUCACAGAUGACCCUGCCACACCUCUCACCGCCAGGCUGUGGAGGGGUGGGCUGGGGAGCUCGUGAACCGAAGGACCUGUCGGCCUCUCAAACCCAGGAGACCUGCAUGCGCCUCAGCUAGCUGCCGGUGAUCAAAAUUUGAAGCAAAAAACAGGAAUCACUUUAGCUGGGCAUGGUGGUGCAUGCCUGUAAUCCCAGCCCUGGGAAAGCUGUGGCAGGAGGAUCACUGGGAUUUCAAGGCCAGCCUGUGUUACACGCAGGCAACACUCCUGUUUCAGGCUUAGAUUUCCAACAUGAGGACUUUGGAGGAGACUCACUCAAACCACUGCGGCACGGAACAGUGCUGAGUGAAAGGACCGCCCUCAAAGGCGUGGGAAGACACAGGGUGGCAGCCUCUGAACAGGGACUUGAACGUACUGAGUUAAACAUGCACUUGCUGGACCUGGGUCUCACCCCACAGCUCCCCUCCUUCUGGAUCCCUGGCUUCUAGGAAAAUGGUGAAUCUGAAGCAGGCCAGAUCUACUCCCCUGGCUGUGCUGGGGAAGCCAGCGGAAGCUCGAAGCUGCCUCUCUUAGCUGCCUGCACCAGCAGCCCUUACGGCUUCAGAGCACUGGGCUCAGUGGCUCUCAGCCUGCCAGGCACUGUUCCAGCUGACACUUGGGCACCACAUGAGGGUCGGCUCAGAUGAAAGCCGAAAGCUGCCUCUUCAGAUUUGAACCUGGUGAUGCUCACAGAUCUCUCCAGUUCCCUGUGUGUUUGUUUGCGUUUUUCAUCACACCACAGAGCAGCUGCUCAGAGGGCUGCCACCUUCCUCCUGCUCACAUCCACACAGAUGCGUGGAGCAGCUACCAACCUCGGCCUGGGUCUUGGUGAUACCUGAUGCCUUGGCCGGCUCUUAGCUCUUUGACUGGAUUGACUUGUAAAGUUUAAGUCCAAGUGCAAGUGCAACCUGUUACUGUCCUCUGCGGAGAGGAGGAACUGCUGAGCCGCCUGUAGAGGCUUCUUUCUCACGUUGUCUGAGGCACAACCCUGUUUCCACCAUGUAAACUAUGCCAUGAUCUGAGCUUGCCAUUCAGUACUGCAUUCGGAUUGGGGCCUCUUGGCAGAAAUGCUGCGCAGAAGCUGAAAGAGUUUUGCUCUAGAAUAAAUUACAGGACAUUAUGGCGGUGGUUCAACAUGGAAGGUCAAAUCGAGGAUGCUUACCCUGAUGGCCGCUUCCUCCGUUUUCUCUGAUUACAACUUCCUCCUUCCUUUCCCUAUGCGUGUGAAGAAAUUUCCAAUCAACUCCUCACACAUCAUCAAUGCCCACCCCAAGCACCACAUCCGGUCAAAGGUCACGUACAUCCCACACCCCCACAUUUGGUCAGAGGCAAAAGCUAAACCCUUGCUGGUUGUUGGCUCUUCUCCACACCCUUUAAAUAAAAAGGCCACUAUCAUUUUUUUCUUUU